rnacentral:rRNA from 1 species
GACGAACGCUGGCGGCGCGCUUAACACAUGCAAGUCGAACGGAAAGGCCUGCUUUCCCUUGUGGAUUGCGGGUACUCGAGUGGCGAACGGGUGAGUAACACGUGAGUGAUCCGCCCCCAACUUGGGUAUAAGCCUGGGAAACUGGGUCUAAUUCCCGAUAGGACUGCAGGGUGGUGCCUGUGGUGGAAAACGAUUUUCUAGUGGUUGGGGAUGAGCUCGCGGCCUAUCAGCUUGUUGGUGGGGUAAUGGCCUACCAAGGCGGCGACGGGUAGCCGGCCUGAGAGGGUGGACGGCCACAUUGGGACUGAGAUACAGCCCAGACUCCUACGGGAGGCAGCAGUGGGGAAUAUUGCACAAUGGGCGGAAGCCUGAUGCAGCGACGCCGCGUGGGGGAUGACGGCCUUCGGGUUGUAAACUCCUUUCGACCGCGAGGAAGCCACCUGGUUGGAAGGGUGGUGACGGUAGUGGUAGAAGAAGCACCGGCUAACUACGUG